rnacentral:rRNA from 1 species
GACGAACGCUGGCGGCGUGCUUAACACAUGCAAGUCGAACGGAAAGGCCCUGCUUUUGUGGGGUGCUCGAGUGGCGAACGGGUGAGUAACACGUGAGUAACCUGCCCUUGACUUUGGGAUAACUUCAGGAAACUGGGGCUAAUACCGGAUAGGAGCUCCUGCUGCAUGGUGGGGGUUGGAAAGUUUCGGCGGUUGGGGAUGGACUCGCGGCUUAUCAGCUUGUUGGUGGGGUAGUGGCUUACCAAGGCUUUGACGGGUAGCCGGCCUGAGAGGGUGACCGGCGACAGUGGGGAGGCGGGACGGCCGAGACAGCGGGGGGAGGCAGAGGGGGGAAAGAUGACAGGGGGGGGGGAAGGCGGAGGGAGCAGGGGGGGGGGGGGGAGGGCGGCGUGCGGGGGGGAAGCCGCUUGGGCGGGUGACGAGGCGGGAGGGAGGGGAAGGGGGAAAGCAGCAGCGGCAAACGACGGGACAGCGGCCGGGGUAAUAGUGGGAAGAGAAAACGUCUGAAC